rnacentral:rRNA from 1 species
CACCUGAAAUCAAGCAAGAUCACCCGCUGAACUUAAGCAUAUCAGUAAGCGGAGGAAAAGAAACUAACAAGGAUUGCCUUAGUAGUGGCGAAUGAACCGGCAUCAGCUCAAAGUGUAAAUCUGAGGCAUCAAGUCUUAGAAUUGUAAUCUAAAGGCCUUUUAGGGAAGUCAUGGUCCUAGCAUAAGUUCCUUGAAAAGGGAUGCCAAAGAGGGUAAAAGCCCCGUAUUUGGUUAGGACUAGAUGUACCGAAGGGUUCCAAGAGUCGGGUUGUUUGGGAUUGCAGCCUAAAAUGGGAGAUAAACUUCUUCUAAAGCUAAAUAUUUAUGGGAAACCGAUAGCAAACAAGUACUACGAAGGAAAGAUGAAAAGAACUUUGAAAAGAGGGUUAAAAGACUUGAAAUCGUUGAGAAGAAAAGCGGUAGAAGAGAAAUGAUUUCGUUCAGAAGUAUGUGGCGUUGUUGCUGUCUUCCUUGGUGAUGGUACUUCAUAGGGCCUAACUUUGGACCGGCGGUGCAUAGUUACUUUUUCUGGGCGAAGUGCAAAAUGAGGUCUCGCUUGCGGAAACGUCUCUGGGGAGGACUCUGGUCUAGAUACUGGAAGCCCCGGUCUCCAA